AGAGUUUGAUCAUGGCUCAGAAUGAACGCUGGCGGCGUGUCUUAAGCAUGCAAGUCGAACGUGAAAGUUGUCUUCGGACAGCGAGUAAAGUGGCGGACUGGUGAGUAACGCGUAAAUAAUCUGCCUUUUAGUUUGGGAUAAUGUCUCGAAAGGGGCACUAAUACCGAAUGUGAUUAAUAAUUCACGUGGUUAUUAAUUAAAGAUGGCUGAGCUUGAUGCUAUCGCUAAAAGAUGAGUUUGCGUCCUAUUAGCUAGUUGGUGGGGUAAUGGCCUACCAAGGCAACGAUGGGUAGCCGGCCUGAGAGGGUGAACGGCCACAUUGGGACUGAGAUACGGCCCAGACUCCUACGGGAGGCAGCAGCUAAGAAUAUUCCGCAAUGGACGAAAGUCUGACGGAGCGACGCCGCGUGGACGAUGAAGGCCUUCGGGUUGUAAAGUCCUUUCAAGAAGGAAGAUGGAUUAAAAGGUGAAUAAUCUUUUAAUUUGACUGUACUUCUAGAAGAAGCCCCGGCUAAUUACGUGCCAGCAGCCGCGGUAAUACGUAUGGGGCGAGCGUUAUUCGGAUUUAUUGGGCGUAAAGCGUAUGCAGGUGGUUUGAUAAGUUGGAUGUGAAAUCUUUGGGCUUAACCCAAAAAUUGCAUUCAAAACUGUCAGACUAGAGUUUAGGAGAGGAGAAUGGAAUUCCAGGUGUAGGGGUGAAAUCUGUAGAUAUCUGGAAGAACACCAGUGGCGAAGGCGAUUCUCUGGCCUAAAACUGACACUCAGAUACGAAAGCUAGGGUAGCGAACGGGAUUAGAUACCCCGGUAGUCCUAGCCCUAAACGUUGAUCACUAGAUGUAGGAAGUAUUGACCCUUUCUGUGUCGAAGGCUAACGUAUUAAGUGAUCCGCCUGGGGAGUACGAUCGCAAGGUUGAAAACUCAAAGGAAUUGACGGGGGGGCCCCGCACAAGCGGUGGAGCAUGUGGCUUAAUUCGAUGAUACGCGAGGAACCUUACCUGGUCUUGACAUGUAGGAAGUAGAAACCUGAAAGGGUGACCACUGGUAUCCAGUCCAGAGCCUACACAGGUGCUGCAUGGCUGUCGUCAGCUCGUGUCGUGAGAUGUUGGGUUAAGUCCCAUAACGAGCGCAACCCUUAUCUUUAGUUGCCAUCAGAGCUUAUGCUGCUGGGCACUCUGAAGAGACUGCCGGUGACAAACCGGAUGGAAGGUGGGGAUGACGUCAAGUCCUCAUGGCCUUUAUGACCAGGGCUGCACACGUGCUACAAUGGGUUGUACAAAGAGUUGCAAGACCGCGAGGUUGAGCUAAUCUCAGAAAGCAACCCUCAGUUCGGAUUGUAGUCUGCAAUUCGACUACAUGAAGUUGGAAUCGCUAGUAAUCGCGCAUCAGCUACGGCGCGGUGAAUACGUUCCCGGGCCUUGUACACACCGCCCGUCACAUCACCCGAGUCGGAUGUACUUGAAUCUGCUGUGCUAACCGCAAGGAGGUAGGCAGUGAAAGUGUGUUUGGUAAGGGGGAUGAAGUCGUAACAAGGUA
rnacentral:rRNA from 1 species